GACGAACGCUGGCGGCAGGCCUAACACAUGCAAGUCGAGCGGAGCGGCGGACGGGUGAGUAAUGCCUAGGAAUCUGCCUGGUAGUGGGGGAUAACGUCCGGAAACGGGCGCUAAUACCGCAUACUAUCAGAUGAGGCUAGGUCGGAUUAGCUAGUUGGUGGGGUAAAGGCCGACCAAGGCGACGAUCCGUAACUGGUCUGAGAGGAUGAUCAGUCACACGGGAACUGAGACACGGUCCAGACUCCUACGGGAGGCAGCAGUGGGGAAUAUUGGACAAUGGGCGAAAGCCGAAACCAGCCAGGCCGGGGGUGUGAAGAAGGUCUUCGGAUUGUAAAGCACGUUAAUUUGGGAGGCGUUACCAACAGAAUAAGCACCGGCUAAUUCCGUGCCAGCAGCCGCGGUAUAC
rnacentral:rRNA from 1 species